rnacentral:misc_RNA from 1 species
GCUGAAGUGGUCAUGACGUUCCUGUGUAAUCAUUGAAAAUAAGCUCAACCUUGCCAACCAUGAAGCAGAGAUAGAACUACGGAAAAAGAAACAUCUGAGCAUUGAGAAUUUUCUCUUUUUUACCAUGGAUGGUUUGCUGUCAAUUCGCGAAGCUCUUUCAAUGGUUCAGACUCCCUAGGAUAUACACUAGUUUCAAGUAUAUACUGGUAAAGAGCAUCAGUCUGUAAGAGACUCUUGUGUCCAA